AUUGCCGUUGAAACUGGAUUUCUUGAGUAUGUUUGAAGCAGGCGGAAUGCGUGGUGUAGCGGUGAAAUGCUUAGAUAUCACGCAGAACUCCGAUUGCGAAGGCAGCUUGCUAAGCCAUAACUGACGCUGAAGCACGAAAGCGUGGGUAUCAAACAGGAUUAGAUACCCUGGUAGUCCACGCGGUAAACGAUGAUAACUAAGAGUUUGCGAUAGACAGCAGGUUCUACAGCGAAAGCGUUAAGUAAUCCACCUGGGGAGUACGCCGGCAACGGUGAAACUCAAAGGAAUUGACGGGGGCCCGCACAAGCGGAGGAACAUGUGGUUUAAUUCGAUGAUACGCGAGGAACCUUACCCGGGAUUGAAA
rnacentral:rRNA from 1 species